AUGAACGCUGGCGGCGUGCCUAAUCCAUGCAAGUCGCGCGAACAGGCGAGGAGCUUGCUCCUCUGACGUUAGCGGCGGACGGGUGAGUAACACGUGGAUAACCUACCUAUAAGACUGGGAUAACUUCGGGAAACCGGAGCUAAUACCGGAUAAUAUAUUGAACCGCAUGGUUCAAUAGUGAAAGACGGUUUUGCUGUCACUUAUAGAUGGAUCCGCGCCGCAUUAGCUAGUUGGUAAGGUAACGGCUUACCAAGGCAACGAUGCGUAGCCGACCUGAGAGGGUGAUCGGCCACACUGGAACUGAGACACGGUCCAGACUCCUACGGGAGGCAGCAGUAGGGAAUCUUCCGCAAUGGGCGAAAGCCUGACGGAGCAACGCCGCGUGAGUGAUGAAGGUCUUCGGAUCGUAAAACUCUGUUAUUAGGGAAGAACAAAUGUGUAAGUAACUAUGCACGUCUUGACGGUACCUAAUCAGAAAGCCACGGCUAACUACGUG
rnacentral:rRNA from 1 species